UAUCUGUGGAGGGCAACAUUUUAGACUGACUUCUUGUUCCCUCAUUUGAAUUUCAAAUUCUUAUCUACGAAUGCUUUUCACCUCCCUUUAGAUCCAGAGGCUAAGGAGAAUAGUAGCCCUGCUCUAAUAAUCUUUGUCUCUUGUACAGCUUAGAGAUGCAAAUUAUAGGUUUUGUUCUUUCAUUUCUCCUUUUUAGUAUCUAACUUCCAUUAAAAUGGAAUAUAAGUCUGGCAGUCACUUUGCAAUCAGAGGAUGUAUAUAUUGACUGCAUGGCAUAUGUCUAUAUGUACAUAUGUUUGUGUACAUCUGAGCAUACGAAAGAUUACAAUAUUAUCUAAGGAUGAUUAAUUUCCAAAAUAAAAAGUUUCUAAACCUGUACUAGUUUACACAAAAUGCUGUCAUUUGAAAUUCAUUUUGUUUGCCUCUGUUACCAGGAGGUUUUCUUAUCUGUAGGGGCCACCAAAGCACAAGGGGAUGACCGACCCUGGUUAAUCCAAACCACAGGACUGACAAAUGAUUAAUUCCAGUCAUCAGAUGAUUAGUUCUAGUCAUUGGGUCACAACCUCGCCUGUUAGUAACUUGCACCUCAACUCCUUCAGGAAAGGGCAAGAAAAAGAAAGCCACUGUGAUUUGGAGACAAGACUUUUCCAGACAACUAUGAGCAACAGGCAACCAUAGCACGAUGCCAAACAGAAGUGUGUUGUGGAAACCCAGACUUUGGUAUGAAAUCUGCAGGAGCAGAUAAGUGGGUGCAAAUAUACAAUUUUCGGUAGAGAUAACAUUAGCAUGAAUUCUAGAAGUACAUGCAAAGAGACCACAAACUCAUCUGUAAUAAACAUUUUAAAAAAA